UACCUCUGGUCCCUUUGCAUUUAACCGAGAAAAUCUUUCGCCUUUUACUAAAGAUUUCCGUGCAAAGGGACAAUUAUGAGUAUUUAAGAAUUUUUGCAGUCCCCUCGAAAGAGCGGGAU
rnacentral:snRNA from 1 species